AUGCCGGUAAGCGUACCACUAGUCGAAUUCCCGGAAUUAGGGAUUUUUAUAGGGCGAUGCGUGGAAUAAAAUUGACGCCUAAGGUUUGGCGCUGUUGGGUUCUUCCAGAUGAGGAGAUUGAUGGAGGUGGAGCCGCCGGGACCGCUGAGAUAUCUGAUCGGGGCGGCGAUCAUGAUGGUCGGAGUGGUUCUCCCGCUCGGGUACAUGCUGUUCCGCCACAAGCGCGUUCCCUCCGCCUCUUCCUCCUCCUCCUCCUCCUCCUCCUUCUCCAAGCAGACGAAUAAAGGACUGAUCUAGAGAUAAUAAAAGGGCUCGAUUCUUCUGCCGAUUUAUCAUAUAUCUUUUCAAUUGAAGGAUCAGGAAUGAGCGAGAGCGAGUGGGUAUAGUGUUGAUGAAGCCACUUUGUUUCAUUAUUGCUGGAUGAUGUUUUCUUGUGUUCGGUAGAUAGUUUGAUGUUAGUUUCUGUGCGGUGUUUUAUGGGAGUUGCAUUGGCUAGCACAAAACGUCUGCUUCUGUAUCUUAGGUAAUGAAUGUUGGUUUACUUCGAUUACUUUUGACGUGAAAAUGCUUGCCUAGCCAUUUCCUUUUGAUGUGAGCAUUGUGAAAGAAUGGCAGCCUUGCAGUCUUCUUAUCAUUAACUUUAUAAGCUUUAGAAA